UCCCUGAUGGUCCAGUGGUUAAGAAUCCAUUUGCAAUGGAGAGGACACAGGUUUGAUCCCUGGUCAGGGAA
rnacentral:tRNA from 1 species